UACGAGGGGUGCAAGCGUUGCUCGGAAUUAUUGGGCGUAAAGGGUAGGUAGGUGGUCUCAUUUGUCAGGGGUGAAAGCCUUGGGCUUAACCCAAGAAGUGCCCCUGAAACGGUGAGACUAGAGUGCUGGAGAGGGUCGUGGAAUUCCCGGUGUAGCGGUGAAAUGCGUAGAGAUCGGGAGGAACACCAGAGGCGAAGGCGGCGACCUGGACAGUUACUGACACUCAACUACGAAAGCGUGGGGAGCGAACAGG
rnacentral:rRNA from 1 species